CUCAAGGAAGCGCUUUGCCUUCGUGGACAGAAAACGUUUCCUUGAGGACGCGCUUUCUGUCCACUUAGGCAAAGCGCUUCCUUGAGG
rfam:Gossypium arboreum cultivar AKA8401 contig_60073_1, whole genome shotgun sequence.